rnacentral:rRNA from 1 species
CACGCCGUAAACGAUGAAUGCUAGCUGUUAGCGAUAUACUGUUAGCGGCACAGAGAAAUCGUUAAGCAUUCCACCUGGGGAGUACGCCGGCAACGGUGAAACUCAAAGGAAUUGACGGGGGCCCGCACAAGCGGAGGAACAUGUGGUUUAAUUCGAUGAUACGCGAGGAACCUUACCUGGGCUUAAAUUGCAGUGGAAUAACGUGGAAACAUGUUAGCCUUCGGGCCGCUGUGAAGGUGCUGCAUGGUUGUCGUCAGCUCGUGCCGUGAGGUGUCGGCUUAAGUGCCAUAACGAGCGCAACCCUCAUCGAUAGUUACUAACAGGUUAAGCUGAGGACUCUAUCGAGACUGCCGACGUAAGUCGUGAGGAAGGUGGGGAUGACGUCAAAUCAGCACGGCCCUUACGUCCAGGGCUACACACGUGUUACAAUGGGGGGUACAAAGGGCAGCUACCUGGCGACAGGAUGCUAAUCUCUAAAACCUCUCUCAGUUCGGAUUGGAGUCUGCAACCCGACUCCAUGAAGCUGGAUUCGCUAGUAAUCGCGCAUCAGCCACGGCGCGGUGAAUACGUUCCCGGGCCUUGUACACACCGCCCGUCAAGCCAUGGGAGCCGGGGGGACCUGAAGUAUGCAACCGUAAGGAGCGUCCUAGGGUAAAACUGGUGACUGGGGCU